ensembl:misc_RNA 7SK 7SK RNA
GUUCAGCAAAUCUGGCUGUGACAUUGGUCACCAGGGUAGAUUUGGCUGGCUAUGGAGGAGUCCCCUUCUUCCCUUAGCCUCCACGUGCCUGUCCCUCCCUGAAGCUGCAUGCUUGAUGGAAGAUGGAAGAUGACCUUCCCUGAGAGAGAGAAGGACUGUUCUUCCGUCAAAGGUAUACAAGUAGCUGCACUCUUUUGCUAGAACCCCCAAACAAGCUCUCAAAGUCCAUUUGUAGGAGAAUGUAGGGUAGUCAAGCUUCCAAGACUCCAGACUCAUUGCAGUGAGGCACAGCACACGGAAGUUUGCCUUUCUUU